AACAAACAUCAGUUUUAAUUUUGAAUUCCAAGUCUAAAUUAAAUAACAAAAUUGUUUAAGAGAAUGGCACAAAAGGUGUGUAUGAUAAUGAUGACACUGAUAAUGAUCGGAUGUCAUCUAAAAGCAUGCAGUGGAAUGGAAAACAUGUCAAAGGAAGGCCAUCUCACAACAAUGGAAACAAUAAGGCCGGAUGAUGUUCCAAACCCAGUAUGCAUAAGGAACUGUAGUGUUACAAGUCACAGUAAAAAAGAGUUUCAAGAUUGUAUCAUACAUUGCGGAUGAUCAGUUCUGAAUGUUCUAUGUCGAUGUAUUAAAGAUAUUUACAACUCUUUUUCGAAAAAUAAAAAUAAUAAUAAUGCAUUAUUGAA